AUUGAACGCUGGCGGCAGGCUUAACACAUGCAAGUCGAGCGGGGUGAUGGUGCUUGCACUAUCACUUAGCGGCGGACGGGUGAGUAAUGGUUAGGAAUCUGCCUAUUAGUGGGGGACAACAUCUCGAAAGGGAUGCUAAUGCUGCAUACGUCCUACGGGAGAAAGCAGGGGAUCACUUGUGACCUUGCGCUAAUAGAUGAGCCUAAGUCGGAUUAGCUAGUUGGUGGGGUAAAGGCCUACCAAGGCGACGAUCUGUAGCGGGUCUGAGAGGAUGAUCCGCCACACUGGGACUGAGACACGGCCCAGACUCCUACGGGAGGCAGCAGUGGGGAAUAUUGGACAAUGGGGGGAACCCUGAUCCAGCCAUGCCGCGUGUGUGAAGAAGGCCUUAUGGUUGUAAAGCACUUUAAGCGAGGAGGAGGCUCUUUUGGUUAAUACCCAAGAUGAGUGGACGUUACUCGCAGAAUAAGCACCGGCUAACUCUGUGCCAGCCGCCGCCGUAA
rnacentral:rRNA from 1 species